rnacentral:rRNA from 1 species
CAGUAAUGUGGGAAGUUCCUUCGGGAACAGGAACACAGGUGGUGCAUGGUUGUCGUCAGCUCGUGUCGUGAGAUGUUGGGUUAAGUCCCGCAACGAGCGCAACCCUUAUUGUUAGUUGGUACCAUUAAGUUGACCACUCUAGCGAGACUGCCCGGGUUAACCGGGAGGAAGGUGGGGAUGACGUCAAAUCAUCAUGCCCCUUAUGUCUAGGGCUACACACGUGCUACAAUGGCAAGUACAAAGAGAAGCAAUACUGUGAAGUGGAGCAAAACUCAAAAACUUGUCUCAGUUCGGAUUGUAGGCUGAAACUCGCCUACAUGAAGCUGGAGUUGCUAGUAAUCGCGAAUCAGAAUGUCGCGGUGAAUACGUUCCCCGGGUCUUGUACAC